GACGAACGCGGGCGGGGUGCUUAACACAUGCAAGUCGAACGAGACGGAUUGGGGGGUUGCUCCUGACAAGUCGAGUGGCAAACGGGUGAGUAACGCGUAGACAACCUGCGGCAAAGAUGGGGAAGGGCCCGAAAGGGGUGCUAAUACCGAAUGUGGGGACUCCCGCAUGGGAGGGGGGCCAAAGAUGGCCUCUGCCUGCAAGCAUCGCUUUGCGAUGGGUCUGGGGCUGAUUGGCCAGGGGCGGGGCAACGGCCCACCAAGGCGACGAUCAGUAGCCGGUCUGAGAGGAUGGACGGCCACAUUGGGAUGAGACACGGCCAGCUCCUACGGGAGGCAGCAGUGGGGAAUUUCGCAAUGGGCGAAAGCCUGAGGAGAACGCCGCGUGGGGAAGAAGGUUUCGGAUCGUAAAGCCCUGUGCCCGGGACGAAGAGCGGGCGAACAGCGCCGGGGGGGA
rnacentral:rRNA from 1 species